rnacentral:rRNA from 1 species
AUUGAACGCUGGCGGCAUGCCUUACACAUGCAAGUCGAACGGUAACAGGCCUUCGGAUGCUGACGAGUGGCGAACGGGUGAGUAAUACAUCGGAACGUGCCCGAUCGUGGGGGAUAACGCAGCGAAAGCUGUGCUAAUACCGCAUACGAUCUACGGAUGAAAGCGGGGGACUCGCAAGGGCCUCGCGCGGACGGAGCGGCCGAUGGCAGAUUAGGUAGUUGGUGGGAUAAAAGCUUACCAAGCCGACGAUCUGUAGCUGGUCUGAGAGGACGACCAGCCACACUGGGACUGAGACACGGCCCAGACUCCUACGGGAGGCAGCAGUGGGGAAUUUGGACAAUGGGCGCAAGCCUGAUCCAGCCAUGCCGCGUGCAGGAUGAAGGCCUUCGGGUUGUAAACUGCUUUGUACGGUAACGAAAAGCUACUCUCUAAUACAGGGGUGAAGUGACGGUACCGUAAGAAUAAGCACCGGCUAACUACGUGCCAGCACG